GGGGUCGUAGCUCAGUUUGGCUAGAGCGCCUCCCUGUCACGGAGGAGGUCGCGGGUUCGAGUCCCGUCGGCCCCGCCA
rnacentral:tRNA from 1 species